rnacentral:rRNA from 1 species
AUAAUACUCCAUAGAUUAGAGACACUGGAAUGUUCUUUAGUCGAAAGUUCUGGCGCCUUAGGAUGGAUCUGCGGUCGAUUAGGUUGUUGUUGGGGUAACGGCCCAACAAGCCUGUAAUCGAUACGGGUUGUGGGAGCAAGAGCCCGGAGAUGGAAUCUGAGACACGAUUCCAGGCCCUACGGGGCGCAGCAGGCGCGAAAACUUUACAAUGCAGGAAACUGUGAUAAGGGAACUCCGAGUGCCCGUAUACGCGGGCUGUCCAGGUGUUUAAAAAUCAUCUGAAGAAAGGGCCGGGCAAGACCGGUGCCAGCCGCCGCGGUUAUACCGGCGGCUCGAGUGGUGGCCACUAUUAUUGGGCUUAAAGCGUCCGUAGCUGGACCGAUAAGUCUCUUGGGAAAUCCGCCGGCUCAACCGGCGGGCGUCUAAGGGAUACUGUUAGUCUAGGGACCGGGAGAGGUGAGAGGUACUCCGGGGGUAGGAGUGAAAUCCUGUAAUCCCCGGGGGACCACCGAUGGCGAAGGCAUCUCACCAGAACGGCUCCGACAGUGAGGGACGAAAGCUGGGGGAGCGAACCGGAUUAGAUACCCGGGUAGUCCCAGCCGUAAACUAUGCGCGUUAGGUGU